rnacentral:lncRNA from 1 species
CCAAUGGCGGCGUCUGUGAUAAACGCAUUUUCCAUUCUCCCAUAUUCCUUCUGCAUAAACGCAUUGGAAACCACCUCCCCCAAAUGCAGCUCGCAACAACCCCAACAAAAUCAACUCAAAGUAUUUUAACAAUUAAGGUGUAAUAAUAAAAAUAAUAAAAUGAAAAAAGUAUACCAAAUACCUUCAGGAAAUCCAACUUGAGGCCAGAGUGUGGCGCAUCGCAGACCGGAGGGAGGGGCGGCGGCUCCUAACUCCUAAAAUUAUGAGUAAAACCUUGUAGAGGAGUGUCUGUCGCUUUCAUCAAUGCAAUUGCAACCCUCAUUAUUCAAAAUCCCACAACUAUUCACUCAAAAAAUAGCA